rnacentral:rRNA from 1 species
CACCAGCUCCACGAGUGGGGAUCGGAUUUAUUGGGCCUAAAGCGUCCGUAGCCGGUCAAGCAAAUCCUUUGUGAAAUUGUCAAGCUCAACUUGACAGCGUGCAGGGGAGACUACUUGACUAGGGACCGGGAAGAGUGUGGGGUAUUCCUUAGGGAGCGGUAAAAUGUUAUAAUCUUUGGAAGACCACCUGUGGCGAAGGCGCCACACUAGAACGGAUCCGACGGUGAGGGACGAAAGCUAGGGGAGCGAUCCG